rnacentral:misc_RNA from 1 species
AACAUCGCGCACCUGCGGGAACCUGCGGAAGGAUCAUUAAAGAAACGCGGCGGAGGGGCCCAGCGCCCCCGAGCCAACACGUUCCACCCUGCCUUUUGUAUACCCGUACCUCCUCCCCGGCCCCCCGGGCCGGGAUGGCUACACAAAGAACCUUGCAGUUUACAGUCAAUUCAGUACUCUUGUAACAGAAAUUACAACUUUCAACAAUGGAUCU